rnacentral:lncRNA from 1 species
CUGGCAUGAUGUAAUAAUAUAUCUAAAUUAAAAGUAACUGAUAAUGUUAUCCCUCAAACGAAUGUAGCACACAGUGCUUUGACAUGCAAUCCGAUUCUUUGACACAAGCCGCAAGGUCUAAUUCAUUUAUAACAUCUUAUCUUGCCUGAAGCUCAGUAGUCAGUUGAAAUUGCAGGUUCUUUUUGCUAGGAAUGGCACAAACUACUAUUUCAUUAUUCAUAUUUACAUAAAAAUUAAGCCUCUAUGGUCCUUAUCAGCAUUU